rnacentral:rRNA from 1 species
AGGUUUCCGUAGGUGACCAUGCGUAGGAUCAUUA